rnacentral:rRNA from 1 species
GAUGAACGCUGGCGGCGUGCCUAAUACAUGCAAGUCGAGCGAACAGAUGAGGAGCUUGCUCCUCUGACGUUAGCGGCGGACGGGUGAGUAACACGUGGAUAACCUACCUAUAAGACUGGGAUAACUUCGGGAAACCGGAGCUAAUACCGGAUAAUAUAUUGAACCGCAUGGUUCAAUAGUGAAAGACGGUUUUGCUGUCACUUAUAGAUGGAUCCGCGCCGCAUUAGCUAGUUGGUAAGGUAACGGCUUACCAAGGCAACGAUGCGUAGCCGACCUGAGAGGGUGAUCGGCCACACUGGAACGUAGACACGGUCCAGACUCCUACGGGAGGCAGCAGUAGGGAAUCUUCCGCAAAGGGCGAAAGCCUGACGGAGCAACGCCGCGUGAGUGAUGAAGGUCUUCGGAUCGUAAAACUCUGUUAUUAGGGAAGAACAAAUGUGUAAGUAACUAUGCACGUCUUGACGGUACCUAAUCAGAAAGCCACGGCUAACUACGUG